CCUACGGGAGGCAGCAGUGGGGAAUUUUGGACAAUGGGCGCAAGCCUGAUCCAGCAAUGCCGCGUGAGUGAAGAAGGCCUUCGGGUUGUAAAGCUCUUUUGUCAGGGAAGAAACGGUAGGGGCUAAUAUCCUUUACUAAUGACGGUACCUGAAGAAUAAGCACCGGCUAACUACGUGCCAGCAGCCGCGGUAAUACGUAGGGUGCAAGCGUUAAUCGGAAUUACUGGGCGUAAAGCGUGCGCAGGCGGUUUUGUAAGUCUGUCGUGAAAGCCCCGGGCUCAACCUGGGAAUUGCGAUGGAGACUGCAAGGCUUGAAUCUGGCAGAGGGGGGUAGAAUUCCACGUGUAGCAGUGAAAUGCGUAGAGAUGUGGAGGAACACCGAUGGCGAAGGCAGCCCCCUGGGUCAAGAUUGACGCUCAUGCACGAAAGCGUGGGGAGCAAACAGGAUUAGAUACCCUGGUAGUCCACGCCCUAAACGAUGUCUACUAGUUGUCGGGUUUUAAUUAACUUGGUAACGCAGCUAACGCGUGAAGUAGACCGCCUGGGGAGUACGGUCGCAAGNUUAAAACUAGAAGUAGUAGCGNGNGAGAGCGACGACGACGACGACGGAGGAGGAGG
rnacentral:rRNA from 1 species